AUUGAACGCUGGCGGCAGGCCUAACACAUGCAAGUCGAGCGAGCGGCGGACGGGUGAGUAAUGUAUGGGGACUGCCCGAUAGAGGGGGAUAACUACUGGAAACGGUGGCUACUACCGCUUACUAUCGGAUAACCCAUAUGGGAUUAGCUAGUAGGUGGGGUAAAGGUUCACCUGGGCGACGAUCUCUAGCUGGUCUGAGAGGAUGAUCAGCCACACUGGGACUGAGACACGGCCCAGACUCCUACGGAGGCAGCAGUGGGGAAUAUUGCACAAUGGGCGCAAGCCUGAUGCAGCCAGGCCGCGUGUGUGAAGAAGGCCUUAGGGUUGUAAAGUACUGUCAGCGGAGAAGCGUUACCCGCAGAAGAAGCACCGGCUAACUCCGUGCCAGCCGCCGCGGUAAUUC
rnacentral:rRNA from 1 species